CCCUUAGAUGUCCUGGGCUGCACGCGCGCUACACUGAUGUGUCCAGUAAGCACCUAACCUCUUCCGAAAGGAACGGGUAACCUUUGCAAAGCACAUCGUGAUGGGGAUAGAUUAUUGCAAUUAUUAGUCUUGAACGAGGAAUUCCUAGUAAGCACAAGUCAUCAGCUUGUGUUGAUUACGUCCCUGCCCUUUGUACACACCGCCCGUCGCUCCUACCGAUUGAGUGAGCCGAUGAAACUGCCGGAUGUGGACUAUUCAUAGUCUGCAGAAGAUAUUUGAAUCGUAGCGCUUAGAGGAAGGAGAAGUCGUAACA
rnacentral:rRNA from 1 species